GACAAAACAAUGAUGGGGAUAGUAGAUAUUGCGGGCUUUUCCAGAGAGCCGGGGUAGCUGGAAGCCGGUAAAGCUGCAAUAUUGAAUGCCACCCUGGAGUUGCUGUUUUGAAAAACGGAGUAAAGACAGUCGGAUUCCCAACCGUUAUCUGGGACAAAGAGUGGGCUGGGCAAGCCAACUAGGGUGGUACCGCGUGAGUGAAACUCUCGUCCCUUGG
rnacentral:ncRNA from 1 species